UUAUUUUAGCGGCGGACGGGUGAGUAACGUGUGGGUAACCUGCCUUUUACUGGGGAAUAAUCACUGGAAACGGUGACUAAUACCGCAUACGGUUCUUGGAAGGCAUCUUCUAAGAAAGAAAGGAUUUAUUCGGUAAAAGAUGGGCCCGCAUCUGAUUAGCUAGUUGGUGAGAUAACAGCCCACCAAGGCGACGAUCAGUAGCCGACCUGAGAGGGUGACCGGCCACAUUGGGACUGAGACACGGCCCAAACUCCUACGGGAGGCAGCAG
rnacentral:rRNA from 1 species